GAAGCGUUGGCACGUUGUCGUCUUCGUCGAGUGAGAAGCAGAAUCGUCGCCGUUCAGAUAGAUCGUUGGAGGCAAAAUCGUGUUUGUUGCAGUUCAGUCUUCGUCGCCGCUGUUGGUCGCCAUGGCCGCCAUUCCUUCCACAAACUCAGCCUCUUUGAUUUCUGUAAUUUUUAUUUACCUUAAACAUUUAUUAAUUACUAUGGCAUUGUUGAGAUUUUCUGUGAUUUUUUAAGUUAG
rnacentral:lncRNA from 1 species